CCGAUAUAAAACCUCCUUUUUUUACUUUCUGAACCAGUUUUAAAAAUGAAGCUAGGGGUUGCAGUUCUGUUUUUUGCAUUAAUCGCCAUAACAUACGCCAGAAGUUAUGGAGAUAUUAAAGAAGAACUAAAAAAGGAAGUUGAAAGCGAAAUUUUGGAAGAUCUCGAAGAUGACAAUAGCGAGUUUGACGACGACAUAUAUGUAAAAGUUAAGGAUGCAAGACCAAAAUGGCGAAAAUGGAAAGAAACUGGUAGGGUUCUUCUUCCAUACGUUCCCUGGGUCAUAAAAACGUUUGGUGACCAAAAAAAGAAUUAAAGAAGCUCCAACUGAAAAACUCUGAAAUAAACUUUAUCAGAAAUAUAUAAUUUUAAUAUUUAAA